rnacentral:rRNA from 1 species
UGAAUUGACGGGGACCCGCACAAGUAGUGGAGCAUGUGGUUUAAUUCGAAGAUACGCGCAGAACCUUACCGACACUUGACAUGUUCGUCGCGACUGUAAGAGAUUAAAGUUUUCGGUUCGGCCGGACGAAACACAGGUGCUGCAUGGCUGUCGUCAGCUCGUGUCGUGAGAUGUUGGGUUAAGUCCCGCAACGAGCGCAACCCUCACUUUUAGUUGCCAUCAUUAAGUUGGGCACUCUGAAAGAACUGCCAGUGAUAAGCUGGAGGAAGGUGGGGAUGACGUCAAGUCCUCAUGGCCCUUACGUGUUGGGCUACACACGUGCUACAAUGGUAUCUACAACAGGAAGCAAGACGGCGACGUUAAGCAAAUCCUUAAAAGAUACCUCAGUUCGGAUUGCACUCUGCAACUCGAGUGCAUGAAGCUGGAAUUACUAGUAAUCGUGGAUCAGCGUGCCACGGUGAAUGCGUUCCCGGGUCUUGUACACACCGCCCGUCACACCAUGGGAGUUGGUUCUACCUUAAGGCAAGGUUUCAAACCCUUGACCACGGUAUAGUCAGCGACUGGGGUGAAGUCGUAACAAGGUAGCC